AGCCUUCUGUAUCCGUGCUGAGAUUUCGUCAGCAAUCAACCCGUUGUGGUUGAUGGUACUUUCCAAAUAAGCGAGGCG
rnacentral:pre_miRNA from 1 species